CUUUUCACAACUUUCAUCUCACCUUUUUCUCUUUCUUUCACAGUUUCAAUUAUCCUCAAAAAAAAAAAAAAUACUUGAUCCCUCUCGCCUAUCUCUCAGAAACAAAAACAGAAAGCAAAAUUGAAGCUUUAAUCCUCAAAAAUUAGAAGGGGAAAUUGAUGUUUUCUGAAAUUCGAAACUGGGGUAAUCUCGAGGAUUUGUUGUAAUGGUUAUCUUUGAUUUGGUGAUAAACUUUGGGUGUUUUUUUUUUUGUAAUUUUUCUUUUGAGAAUCAAUGUUAGGGUUUGGUGAUGAAGUGGGUAUGGAUUGGUAAUACGUCAAACCUAAUUUUCUGUCAAUUGAGAAAAAUGAUUAAAUGUGAGAAUUUUUGUGUAUUUUCUUGUAAUUUUACGCGUUAAAUUUGUUACCCAAAUGUGAUAUGGUGAUGUUGAUUCAAGGAUGUUUUCAAGGCCAAAUUUAUACAAUUGAUAGAGAUUGUGCAUCGAAUAAGGAGAUUAUUAGAAUUACUGGGUACAUUUUAAUUCUAUUCAAUCAGUUCUUCAUUUGAAAACUUGGAUUUUUGUUAAAAUUGUUUGCAGUUACAAUUUCUGUCGAUGUUCAUCCCAUUGGGAUAUUGCUGGUGAGGAGAAACUUUUUGGCCUAAAAGAUGGAUAUUAGUAAGAUUUUGCUUUCACCUUUUCCUUAUAUGGUGUUCUGUGAUAUAUGGUUACAGGGUAUGAUAUUUGGCAUGUUUAGAGUGACACUAUCUUGCAAUGUCCAAGGUUUUUCUUUUGUCUAUUCGUAUUACAAACUAUCUUGUACUUGGGCUAAUCUCUAAGAAAAUAUUUCUGCAAGAUAUUCCGAUUGUGAUUCUUAGAGUUUAGAAAUUAUGAGGCUAAGUUGUUGCUAGACCUUACUGUUGGCAAGAGAGUAUUAUUGAGUAUUACCGUGUGGUUGGAAUGCUGGUUACAAGAAGCUUCUGUACGGAAGCUGGGUGUUAUUGGACUUUUAAGUCAGGGAAUGUUGUCCUUCAUUGCUUGUCAGACAAAGGACUUUACAAUGAAAUUCAGGAGCUUAUCCCUAGAUUUCUAAAUCAAGAUGCAUAUAUUGAGGAACGCAGGGUGGAGAAUAAGAAGCUGGAGUCCUUCACUCUGAAAGUAUUACAAUGGCACCCUAGAGAAACAAAGCAGCAAAGAUGACCUUGGGAUCCUCAUUAUCUACUAUUACUCAAUCACCAAAAAAGAUUAAGCAGAUUACUAUUUUUGCACUAAGAUAUUAGAAGGAGAAAAUGUCAGAAGCACAAGCACUAGAUAUCUUGGUGCCCGCAAAGCUGCAGCAGGCUGCUUGCUGAGUGGCCUCAGCGAAACUCUGCAUUUCUAAUAUACCAACCGUUAUUGACAAUUUAUCCAAUGAAGGCUUCUCCAAGAGUCUGAAGAAAAUUGAAAUUAUGUAUUUCCCCCUUUCAGCAGGAUAUAAUUUUCACACAGGAUUUGCUUACAGUGUUCUUGUGAUAACCAAAAAAAUGUAAUUCUAAACUACCUGGCCUCAACGUACAUAAACUUGUGAUCACCUCUUUCUUGGGUAAUAUUUGUACAAGAACCUAUGUGCGAACUGUUGUAAUUCUUGAAAAAUGAUGAACAAAUAGCCUUUUAAUUGUUGGAAGGAUCAGUUGCCAACAAUAAAGAAGGCAAGGAUACGGCA